GUAUCCUGGGAAAGAUCGAAGUAUUGAACAAAAGAAAGCAGAAGUUAGUGUUCUCUAAGCAAGUUUGGGAUAAUAUUCCCAACAAUUUCAAGUGAGACUGAAUGUAUGUAAAUCAAGUGGCUAUCUAGAGAGGGAGAGCAACGUGCUUCGAUGCAUCUCUAUUUAUUAUCCUAUGUAAUAAUUAUAUAUAACAUUUUCUCAGGUGGAUGUGAAUUCCCAUCUCCCCCGUAAAGGUAACCCAUUCCUAUAUAGUUGUUAUACAAGAUACUAACUCUUACAUGUUUUAUAGUUUCUUUUUAAGGGAUUU